CAGCCGCCACGGUAAUACGUAGGGCGCAAGCGUUAUCCGGAAUUAUUGGGCGUAAAGAGCUCGUAGGCGGUUUGUCGCGUCUGCCGUGAAAGUCCGGGGCUCAACCCCGGAUCUGCGGUGGGUACGGGCAGACUAGAGUGAUGUAGGGGAGACUGAAAUUCCUGGUGUAGCGGUGAAAUGCGCAGAUAUCAGGAGGAACACCGAUGGCGAAGGCAGGUCUCUGGGCAUUAACUGACGCUGAGGAGCGAAAGCAUGGGGAGCGAACAGGAUUAGAUACCCGAGUAGUCCCUGUCUCUUAUAC
rnacentral:rRNA from 1 species